AUUCAUAUUACACAUAUAGAGCACAAUUUUUCAUAUCUCUGGUUUUUCAUAUACACUGUUUCAUUUCUUAGAUGACUUUAUUGUUCUGUGCUUGUUUCUUCAUAUGCAAAAUGAUAAUAACCACAACUACUUCAUAAGGUGGUUCUGAGGAUAAAUUAUUUUAUAUAAAGCUCUUGGAAGUGACUGGCACAGAGUAUCUUAAAAGUCAGGAUUACUAGGCAUACUUCACAGGGCACCUAAGUUCUACAGGCCUUGAAAUCAGACACUCCUGGGUCUACAUGCCAGCUCCACACUCUUGACCUUGCAGUCACUUCCCCUCUCAGAGCCUCGGCUUUCUCUUCUCCACAUGGAGGAUAAGCCCUGCUUUCUUAAGAUACCAUGCUGUGCCAAAGCCUGUGCCACCCAUACGUUGCUCCACACACCUCCUCCUUUUCGGAUGCCCUUUUCUCAAUGGUCCACUUUAACACCCCUCUGACCUAGAGCCCUUUCCUUCACUGCUUCCAGAAUUCUUUCCAACAGCAUGCCCUGGUGCGGAGAACGCUCGAUUCCCAGUAAAAAAGCCCAAGAUUUGGUCACUUGACUUUAGAAUGGAAUGAUUCUAAUAAGUUGUUUCCAAGGAACCACAAGGUCUUGGGCCAAUGAGUCUUUCCUCUGGGCCUUGGUCUCCUGUCUGUUCCACGGUAUCAUGACAGACUGCAAUCUUGUGACGUGGUGGCAAAGGCCAGUCUCCUGCUCUAUUGCCUCUAGCACAGAAGGAAGCCUAGGAAAGGCAAACCUCACCUAGGGAAAAACCGGGGAACCUCCUCAUGCUCCCCUCAUGCUCCAGUGCACAAAAAUAACAGCUCAAAGCACUUUUGCCCCUUUCAAUAAGUUUUCUCCACAGAAGGAUUUUAAGAUUCUUUUCCCAAAAAUGUGUAUUUUCCAAUUGAGGGGAGAAAAAAAAAAAAAAAACACUUGUGCAACACAAACUUAAGGACAAAACCAGGGUGCCUCACUCCCUCUCCAGUGCGCUUCCAUUGCAAAAUGCUAAUAAGCUUSAAGGGAAGGUGGCACUUGGGGCAUCCUGGGGAAGGGGCAUACAUUUUCUGAAAGGUUGGAGGAAGACCUUUACAUACACGUGCGUUAUUUAUGAGAGGCCCAGGCAGCUGUGGGAGGGUGUCGUGGCCGGCAGUCCCAUUAAUGGGACAAGCGUAUGCAGAGGACGCUCCAGUCCUCUGACUUCGCCAUCCGGCUUGCCUGCUAAGUCCCUUCCUUGACACGAAAUGGAACCAGUCUUUCCCGUCUAGAAACCUCGGUUUCCCCACCUGUACGACAAGGACCACGUGCUCCCCUCCGCCAGGGCACAUCAAACCGAAUCGGACGAGAUUCCCUCAGGCCCGAGGUCGGCGUUAGGCAAUCGGUAAAAAGACAGGCAAGGCGAUGGCAGGAUUCACUCCUCUCCCGCCAAGUCUGAACUUCCCGCCGCAGCACGCUUUCCAGAGCGGCCCCGAAAGGACGUGAUCGACACACCAGGAGCCACGCCCCGGGAGAGCCCAAGCCGCCGCCGCCGCCGCCGCCGCCGCGCCCCACCCUGCGGCCCGGGGUAGGGACCUGCAGUGACGUCACACGACUUCCUCCGUAGCCGUCCGCCGCGAGAGAAAAUAGUCCCAGGCGCCCCCUCGGACCCGUCAGCUCUACUAGGCAACAGGUAAAAUUCUAGAGUCCCUCCUGACCCAAUUAUGGUUCUGAGGCCUCAGAGAGACUUUUCGGAACACUGGGAAUCUGUUUUUCACUGGGGCUGCGGUGGAAGUAGUUCCGGCACACAGUAGGAUGAUGGGUUCCUCCGCAGCGGGGAAAAGAGGAUGGCGACCUCGUCGAUGCCGGAGCCGGAGAGGAAGGCGGCAACGAAAGCCUCAGAGUGAAAGCCCUAGACACUGCGCCCCGCUGUCAGGCGGCCCCCUGAACCGAUGGAGGAGAACGAGGUGGAGAGCAGUAGCGACGCCGCCCCUCGUCCUGGGCGGCCCGAGGAACCUUCGGAGAGCGGCCUGUGCGUGUGCACUUCAGAAGCCGUGUCUGCCGAUAGCAGCGACGCCGCGUCCGUCCCAGGACCCGGGGAGGUCGACGACUCUGGCGUGGGGCAAAGCUCAGACCGCGGUGGCCGCUCUCUGGAAGAGGUGUCUGAGAGCAGCUCAAGCACCGACCCUCUGCCUCAUGGCUACCUCCCUGAUUCGUCUUCYGUGUCCCGUGGGCCUGUGGCAGGGGUGCCAGGCGGGCCGCCAGCACUGGUGCACUCCAGCGCGCUCCCCGACCCCAGCAUGCUGGUGUCCGACUGCGCAGCCUCCUCCUCAGACCUGGGCUCUGCCAUUGACAAGAUCAUCGAGUCCACCAUCGGACCCGACCUCAUCCAGAGCUGCAUCACUGUGACCAGUGCUGAAGAUGCUGGGGCUGAGGCCACUCGMUAUCUGAUCCUGCAGGGCCCUGAUGAUGGUGCCCCCAUGACAUCACCAAUGUCGAGUUCCACCCUGGCCCGCAGCCUGGCCGCCAUCGAGGCCCUGUCAGAUGGCCCCACGUCCACAUCCACAUGCCUGGAGCCACCGGAGGAGGUGCAGGGUGGGGCCAGCUCCCUGGCACAGCUGCCCCCGGCCUCUGGCACUGAGGAGCUGGACCUCCAGAGCCUGGAGGCCAUGAUGGAGGUGGUGGUGGUGCAGCAGUUCAAGUGUAGGAUGUGCCAGUACCGCAGCGGCACCAAGGCCACGCUGCUGCGGCACAUGCGGGAGCGGCACUUCCGCCCAGCAGCAGCAGCAGCAGCAGCAGCCGGUAAGAAGGGACGUCUCCGGAAAUGCAGCCCAUCGACCAAGAGCCAGGAGGAGGAGGGGCCCGAGGAGGAGGAGGAGGAUGACAUUGUAGAUGCCGGUGCCAUUGAUGACCUGGAGGAGGACAGCGACUACAAUCCAGCUGAGGAUGAGCCCCGAGGCCGGCAGCUUCGGCUCCAGCGUCCCACACCCAGUUCCCCAAGACCACGACGGAGACCUGGCCGGCCCCGGAAGCUGCCUCGUCUGGAGACCUCAGACCUGUCUGCUGCAGAUGGGGGAAAUCCUCUAGUGAGCUCGCAGAGCACCAAGAGCCCUCUGGGGCCACCAGAUCCUGAGGCUCCCAGCUCCUCAGGCCCCGGACACCUGGAGGCCCUGGGCAAGGCCGGCAAGGUCACCAUGGAGCCUGGUGUGAGCCAGUCCGACACAGAGAUUGCAGCCCCAUCCUGCCAGGAGGAGCCCGAUGCCCCACCGCGCCGCCGUGGUCGACCUUCCCGGCGAUUUCUGGGCAAGAAAUACCGAAAGUAUUAUUACAAGUCACCCAAACCGCUUCUGCGGCCCUAUCUAUGCCGCAUUUGUGGCUCACGCUUCCUGUCCCAUGAGGACCUGCGUUUCCACGUCAACUCCCACGAGGCUGGUGACCCCCAGCUCUUCAAGUGCCUGCAGUGCAGCUACCGCUCCCGCCGCUGGUCCUCACUCAAGGAGCACAUGUUCAACCACGUGGGCAGCAAGCCCUACAAAUGUGACGAGUGUAGCUACACCAGUGUCUACCGCAAGGACGUCAUUCGGCAUGCGGCUGUUCACAGCCGAGACAGGAAGAAGAGGCCAGACCCGACCCCAAAACUGAGCUCUUUCCCCUGCCCUGUGUGCGGCCGCGUGUACCCCAUGCAGAAGAGACUGACACAGCACAUGAAGACGCAUAGCACUGAGAAGCCCCACAUGUGUGACAAGUGUGGAAAGUCCUUUAAGAAGCGCUACACCUUCAAAAUGCACCUGCUCACACACAUCCAGGCUGUCGCCAACCGCAGGUUUAAGUGUGAGUUCUGUGAGUUCGUCUGUGAGGACAAGAAGGCCCUGCUGAACCAUCAGCUCUCCCAUGUCAGCGACAAGCCCUUCAGAUGCAGCUUUUGUCCCUACCGUACCUUCCGGGAGGACUUCCUGCUGUCCCACGUGGCUGUCAAGCACACAGGAGCCAAGCCCUUUGCCUGUGAGUACUGCCACUUCAGCACGCGCCACAAGAAGAACCUGCGCCUGCACGUGCGCUGCCGCCACGCGAGCAGCUUCGAGGAGUGGGGGCGGCGCCACCCCGAGGAGCCCCCCUCCCGCCGCCGCCCCUUCUUCUCCCUGCAGCAGAUUGAGGAACUGAAGCAGCAGCACAGCGCGGCCCCUGGGCCACCCCCCGGCUCCCCGGGGCCUCCUGAGAUCCCCUCGGAGGCAGCACCUUUCCAGGCUCCUGAGACUCCCCCGCUUCUCUGUUCUGACACUCUGGGCAGUGCCACCAUCAUCUACCAGCAAGGAGCUGAGGAGUCCACGGCAAUGGCCACCCAGACGGCUCUGGAUUUGCUGCUGAACAUGAGUGCCCAGCGGGAGCUGGGGGGCACAGCCCUGCAGGUGGCCGUGGUGAAGUCAGAGGACGUGGAAGCAGGGUUAGCGUCUUCUGGUGGGCAGCCCUCCCCCGAAGACACCACUCCACAGGUGGUGACCCUCCACGUGGCAGAGCCUGGGGGCAGUGUGGCUGCUGAGAGCCAGCUAGGCACUCCUGAUCUACAGCAGAUCACCUUGGCACCUGGUCCAUUUGGUGGAGCUGGCUACAGUGUCAUCACAGCACCCACCAUGGAGGAGGGGACAUCGGCCCCUGGCACACCUUACAGUGAAGAGCCCCCAGGGGAGGCAGCCCAGGCUGUGGUAAGUGACACCCUCAAAGAAGCUGGCACCCACUACAUCAUGGCUGCUGAUGGGACCCAGUUGCACCACAUUGAGUUGACUGCAGAUGGCUCCAUCUCCUUCCCCAGCUCAGAUGCCCUGGCCUCUGGAGCCAAGUGGCCCCUUCUGCAGUGUGGGGGGCUGCCCAGAGAUGGUUCUGAGCCACCGUCUCCAGCCAAGACCCUCCGGGUAGGGGACUCCCAGCCUUCUGCCUCCCCACCUCCUGCAGCCAGCAAAACCCUGGGCCUGGCAGUGCCCCCCUCCCCACCAUCUGCAGCCACUGCAGCAUCAAAAAAGUUUUCCUGCAAGAUUUGUGCUGAGGCCUUCCCUGGCCGAGCUGAGAUGGAGAGUCACAAACGGGCCCAUGCUGGGCCUGGCACCUUCAAGUGCCCUGACUGCCCYUUCAGUGCCCGCCAGUGGCCCGAGGUCCGGGCCCACAUGGCACAGCACUCGAGCUUGCGGCCCCACCAGUGCAGCCAGUGCAGCUUCGCCUCAAAGAACAAGAAGGACCUGCGGCGGCACAUGCUGACCCACACCAAUGAGAAGCCUUUCUCGUGCCAUCUCUGCGGGCAGCGUUUCAACCGUAACGGGCACCUCAAGUUCCACAUCCAGCGGCUGCACAGUCCUGACGGGAGGAAGUCUGGCACCCCGACAGUCCGCACCCCAGCACGGACCCCCACCCAGACCAUCAUCCUGAAUAGUGACGACGAGACGCUGGCCACRCUGCAUACUGCCCUCCAGUCCAGUCACGGGGUCCUGGGCCCAGAGAGGCUACAGCAGGCCCUGGGCCAGGAACACAUUAUUGUGGCCCAGGAACAGACAGUGACCAAUCAGGAGGAAGCCACCUACAUCCAAGAGAUCACCACAGCAGAUGGUCAGACGGUACAGCACCUGGUGACCUCGGACAACCAGGUACAGUAUAUCAUCUCUCAGGAUGGUGUCCAGCACCUGCUGCCCCAGGAAUAUGUCGUGGUCCCUGAUGGCCACCACAUCCAGGUACAGGAGGGCCAGAUCACACACAUCCAGUAUGAACAAGGAGCCCCGUUCCUCCAGGAGUCCCAGAUCCAGUAUGUGCCUGUAUCCCCAGGCCAGCAGCUGGUCACACAGGCUCAGCUUGAGGCUGCAGCCCACUCUGCCGUCACAGCGGUGGCUGAUGCUGCCAUGGCCCAAGCCCAGGGCCUGUUUGGCACAGAGGAGGCAGUGCCCGAACACGUGCAACAGCUGCAGCACCAGGGCAUCGAGUACGACGUCAUCACCCUGGCCGAUGACUGAGCCCAAGGGCCCAACGCAGAUCAUGGAUAACGGGGCCAGCUCUCCUGGGGUGGGGGCAUACACCUCCCUGUCCCACGUAUGUGGAGAGUUGACAGUGCCUGGCAAAUAGUAAGCUCCAGCCACCCUGUAGGUAAGCACUGCUUCUACUCCCUCCUUACAAGUAAGGGAACCACAUGUGGAGUGUUGAGAGCUGAGCUUAGAAUCAGAAGUAGUGGGUAAUGGAACCAGGAGCCCAACAGGUCUGUCCACUCCACAGCGCAUGCUCUGACCAAGCUCCCUGCACCAUCCCUAAGACCAGAUGGCAAAGCCCUGGCUCUUGCUAAGAGUGGCUGGAAACCAGGGGGCUGGGGCCCAA